rnacentral:rRNA from 1 species
UACGGAGGGUGCAAGCGUUAAUCGGAAUUACUGGGCGUAAAGCGCGCGUAGGCGGCUCGGUCAGUCGGGUGUGAAAUCCCUGGGCUCAACCUGCGAACUGCAUUCGAUACUGCCGAGCUAGAGUGUGGGAGAGGGUAGUGGAAUUCCCGGUGUAGCGGUGAAAUGCGUAGAUAUCGGGAGGAACAUCAGUGGCGAAGGCGACUGCCUGGCCCAACACUGACGCUGAGGUGCGAAAGCGUGGGGAGCGAACAGG